AGUGGCGGACGGGUGAGUAACGCGUGAGAAUCUGCCUUGGGGUCGGGGACAACCACUGGAAACGGUGGCUAAUACCGGAUACGCCUUCGGGUAAAAGAUUUAUUGCCCUAAGAGGAGCUCGCGUCUGAUUAGCUAGUUGGUGAGGUAAGAGCUCACCAAGGCAGCGAUCAGUAGCUGGUCUGAGAGGACGAUCAGCCACACUGGGACUGAGACACGGCCCAGACUCCUACGGGAGGCAGCAGUGGGGAAUUUUCCGCAAUGGGCGAAAGCCUGACGGAGCAAGACCGCGUGAGGGAGGAAGGCUCUUGGGUUGUAAACCUCUUUUCUCAGGGAAGAAGCUCUGACGGUACCUGAGGAAUCAGCCUCGGCUAACUCCGUGCCAGCAGCCGCGGUAAUACGGAGGAGGCAAGCGUUAUCCGGAAUUAUUGGGCGUAAAGCGUCCGCAGGUGGCGAUUCAAGUCUGCUGUCAAAGCACGGGGCUUAACUCCGUAAAGGCAGUGGAAACUGAAUAGCUAGAGUGCCGUAGGGGUAGAGGGAAUUCCCGGUGUAGCGGUGAAAUGCGUAGAGAUCGGGAAGAACAUCGGUGGCGAAAGCGCUCUACUGGACGGCAACUGACACUCAGGGACGAAAGCUAGGGGAGCGAAUGGGAUUAGAUACCUC
rnacentral:rRNA from 1 species